rnacentral:lncRNA from 1 species
AGGUGAGACUGGAAGACUGGAUAGGGCUGAAGUUGGAGAAAUGCCUUUUCCCAGGUUGUCAGACUGUCAUUUGUUCUGAUGAAGACCCCGCACUCCUUGAGUGGUCAGCCACUUUUAUCCCAGGGCAGCCACACUUCAGAGGCCUCUACAUCAUAAGCUUCAUCUAUCUUCAUAUUCAGCAAAACACCAGAUAAGUGCCUAAUUAGCAUAAUUAACAUCAGAAAUGGGUUUUCAUUGGUGAAUUUAGUGGCUUGUUAAUCAGCAUAAUGAAUGUUAGAAAUGGGUUCUGAAUUGUGAAAUUAGAAGAAAUCAAGAUAUGUGAAUUGGUUAAAGUAUUAUAGAAACAUACUUAACACUUGCAUAAAAUGGGAAAUUAGAAUCUAUGAGAUCUGUUGGGAUGGCCCCGAAGGUUACAUCAUUAAAUGGACUUGAGUCCAGUCUUUGGGUGAGAGAAUUUCAUAGUGACUGAUGCAAAUUUGUAAAGAUAACAAAAUCUGCCUCUGAAAUAUUGCUAUGUUUGUCUCCUGUAAAUCAUUCAUGUAACAAAUAUGUAUAGUUUGUUCAUCUAAAAGCACAGUGAUCUGGGUCUUUAUCAAACUUAAACAAUAUUGUAUUAACUCUUUGGGGUUUGCCUGUGCAUUCAUGUUUAUGUAUGUCUGUA